CGGUACGAUCUACUGCGCAUGCGUGUGACUUUUGGCGCAUGCGCAGUAGAUCCGUACCGGCGAAAUGAUCUUACUGCGCAUGCAAGCAAAAAUAAGUAUCUGCUUUGAGGCCACUGAAACAGUUACAUCUGGUGUUCAACAUGCCUCAUUUAUUCUUUUUCCCCACAACUCAUAAUUUUAUAUGUUGGUGGCCCUCUCUGUAUAGUAAACAAUGCUGUGUUGCUCACAAAUCUCUUUUCUAGUCUGGAAAGUACAGGAGAGCACCACCAAAAAGCACAGUGUGCUAAUAACAACAUGUAGAGCUUCAGUAACUUUUGUCCCAUUUUUGUACAUAUGUGUAAUGCCUAACUUUUCCAUGUCAUACCUUUUAUUGGGCAUGCAACCAGUGUACUUUUAGUUAGGACUAGGGUUGCCAACUGGCCAGAAAAAUGCUUGAAGUAAAUUUUAGCGAUAGGUAAAAAAGCUAAAAAUAUAAGUAUAUUAAGUAGUAUUAUUUUACCUUUACCAGAAAAUGUGCCAACCCUUGUUGGAACUAGGGACGCUUCGUAUUGGGUUCAGUUCGGGAUUCGGAUUUGAGUACCUGGUUGAACCAAAUCCUAUACCCUUAAGGGAACAGUAAUGCCCAAAAAUGAAAGUCUUUCAAAAUAAAGAAAAUAUAAUGUACUGUUGUUAAAUAUAAUGUCAUGCUGUUAAAACUGACAUAUUUGCUUCAGAAACUCUAUAAUAAUAUACAUAAACAAGCUGCUGUGUAGUCACGGGGACAGCCAUUCAAAGCUGAAAAAGCAGAAAAGGCUGUGCUUGAAUGGAUUUGGUGCAUCCAGUAACGGACCAUUCCUCUAGCCUCCUUUCUCUAAUAGAAAGGAGAGAAAUAGAGUGGUAAAUGUAUUUGUGCAUUUACCACUUAUUUUUAAUUUAAAUAUGGCAUUUUACUAUGUAUAUAUUUUUGGAGCAAUCUUCGGUUUUUGUUUAUAAGGAAUGCUCCCUAUUUAUGCUUUGUCUUUUGAUUGGACUUUUAAUUAUGAAUAUACAGUAUAUGAGUAUAUAGUAUAGAAACCUUGAGACCUCAAACAAAUGUUUUAAUUCUCCACCCAAAGAAUGAUUUUUGCAGUAUACCUUUGUUUGUACUGCCACAUGGGGCUGAUUUUUGCAAAAUGCAUUCUCGCGAUUUUCAGCACUAAAAUCAUCUCCUUGUGUCUACCUGUUCCCAAUGCCUCUACUUUCUCCCAUGAACGGGUAGGAAAUAUAUUGCUGUUGCAAGCUCCAUCCCUUCAGCAUAAAUUCUGUUAAUGACAGCUUUCCUGGAUCAUCUAAUCUGCAGUUUAUGUGUUUCUAUAUAUCUGUAUGAGCUUGCCAGUCUUACAGCACUUCAUUGUACUGCGCCCCCUCCGAUCACCUUAGCUAUUAUAAUAUCAAUAGUUUGGUGAGAAUUACUUAUUAACCCAAGUCGCUAGCGAACCGUGAAACUUUCACCAUGUCCAAGACGGCAAUAAUUCCAGUAUCCAAGUGUGUUUACAUUUAGUUUAUUCCUGUAUACUUUACUCAAUAUACAAAAUAAAUAAAUAAGGCCAUCUUUAAAUGUGCAUUGAUCAAUUAUUUUUUAAAUAAUAGGGAGACUGUGCACCUGCUACUUUAUAUUGUUGUAGAUUUGUGCAUAUAUGCGUUUAGGGCUCUUAGACAGGAAUGCUACAGUAAGCACAAACUAAUAUGAAAUACAGGGAAUGGGAGGCCUUCCUUCUUGCCUUCCCCUGCAGUGGAAUGUAUGAAAGAUUUUGGGUUUAAUUAAUGUUUAAAUUAUUUUUUUAGAACACUUAUGUAUGGAGAUCCAAAUUAUGAAAACAUCCCUUAUACACAAUCCCAAGCUUUCUGGAUAACAUACCUGUACUUUUUAGAUAAUCUGUCAUUUGGGGGUUUUUUUUAGAUAUAUUUUGUGCCAGCAAAAUCAUUACUUGGAAUUAGAAACUCGAUGUCUAGAAAGUAACCCACAUUUCCUGCAAAUUAUUUAAUAAUAUUCUUUAUACAGCAUAGUGAGCAUUUUAUUAUUUUGUAUGAAAACUUGACCAGCAGAGGGCAGUGUCUGUUUUGAUGCAUCCUUAUGCUAAAUGGGUGUUAUACUAGUCUCAGAUUUAUAUAUUUAUUCGUUAAUAAAG